UGGGGAAUUGGCUGGGCGCUCAUUGGCUGCCGGAGAAGCUAAUUGUUUCCUUGAAGUCACAGGUUUCGGACGGAGGAAAGAAGAGUUGGGGUAUUCUGGCGCAGAUGGAAUCAUACAGUAUGGGAUCUUUUGUGUCUGGUUUCUCUGCGUAAUGCUUCCGUCCAGGUUGUGGACUGUUAUGCUUUCAGGCUUUCCAUUGAAAACUUGGAUCCGGCCAGGUGCAGUGGCUCACGCCUGUAAUCCCAACACUUUGGGAGGCCGAGGUGGGUGGAUCAACUGAGGUCGGGAGUUCAAGACCAGCCUGACCAACAUGGAGAAACCCCAUCUCUUAAAAAUACAAAACUAGGCCGGGCGCGGUGGCUCACGCCUGUAAUCCCAGCACUUUGGGAGGCCGAGAUGGGCAUAUCACGAGGUCAGGAGAUCGAGACCAUCCUGGCUAACACAGUGAAACCCCGUCUCUACUAAAAAUACAGAAAAUUAGCCGGGCGUGGUGGUGGGCACCUGUAGUCCCAGCUACUCGGGAGGCUGAGGCAGGAGAAUGACGUGAACCCGGGAGGCGGAGCUUGCAGUGAGCCGAGAUUGCGCCAUUGCACUCCAGCAUGGGGGACAGAGCGAGACAAAAAAAAAAAAAAAAAAAAAACCCAAAAUUAGCCAGGCAUGGUAGAACAUGCCUGUAAUCCCAGCUACGCAGGAGGCUGAGGCAGGAGAAUUGCUUGAACCAGGUAGGCGGAGGUUGCCAUGAGCCAAGAUCAUGCCAUUGCACUCCCGCCUGGGCAAACAAGAGUGAAACUCUGUCUCAAAAAAAAAAAAAAAAGUCCCUCUCCCGUCUCCCGUCUCCCGUCUCCCGUCUCCCGUCUCCCGUCUCCCAUCUCCCUCUCCCCACGGUCUCCCUCUGCCUCUCUUUCCACGGUCUCCCUCUGAUGCUGAGCUGAAGCUGGACUGUACUGCUGCCAUCUCUGCUCACUGCAACCUCCCUGCCUGAUUCUCCUGCCUCAGCCUGCCGAGUGCCUGCGAUUGCAGGCACGCGCUGCACGCCUGACUGGUUUUCGUAUUUUUUUUGGUGGAGACGGGAUUUCGCUGUGUUGGCCGGGCCGGUCUCCAGCUCCUAACCGCGAGUGAUCCGCCAGCCUCGGCCUCCCGAGGUGCCGGGAUUGCAGACGGGAGUCUCGUUCACUCAGUGCUCAAUGGUGCCCAGGCUGGAGUGCAGUGGCGUGAUCUCGGCUCGCUACAACCUCCACCUCCCAGCCGCCUGCCUUGGCCUCCCAAAAUGCGGAGAUUGCAGCCUCUGCCCGGCCGCCACCCCAUCUGGGAAGUGAGGAGCGUCUCUGCCUGGCCGCCCAUCGUCUGGGAUGUGAGGAGCCCCUCUGCCUGGCUGCCCAGUCUGGAAAGUGAGGAGCGUCUCAGCCCGGCCGCCAUCCCAUCUAGGAAGUGAGGAACACCUCUUCCCGGCCGCCAUCACAUCUAGGAAGUGAAGAGCGUCUCUGCCCGGCCGCCCAUCGUCUGAGAUGUGGGGACCGCCUCUGCCCCGCCGCCCCAUCUGGGAUGUGAGGAGCGCCUCUGCCCGGCCGCGACCCCGUCUGGGAGGUGAGGAGCGUCUCUGCCCGGCCGCCCCGUCUGAGAAGUGAGGAGACCCUCUGCCUGGCAACCGCCCCGUCUGAGAAGUGAGGAGCCCCUCCGCCCGGCAGCCACCCCGUUUGGGAAGUGAGGAGCCUCUCCGCCGGGCAGCCACCCCGUCCGGGAGGGAGGUGGCGGGGUCAGCCCCCCGCCCGGCCAGCCGCCCCGUCCGGGAGGUGAGGGGCGCCUCUGCCCGGCCGCCCCUACUGGGAAGUGAGGAGCCCCUCUGCCAGGCCACCACCCCGUCUGGGAGGUGUACCCAACAGCUCAUUGAGAAUGGGCCAUGAUGACGAUGGCGGUUUUGUGGAAUAGAAAAGGGGGAAAGGUGGGGAAAAGAUUGAGAAAUCGGAUGGUUGCCGUGUCUGUGUAUAAAGAAGUAUACAUGGGAGACUUUUCAUUUUGUUCUGUACUAAGAAAAAUUCUUAUGCCCUGGGAUCCUGUUGAUCUGUGACCUUACCCCCAACCCUGUGCUCUCUGAAACGAGUGCUGUGUCCACUCAGGGUUAAAUGGAUUAAGGGCGGUGCAAGAUGUGCUUUGUUAAACAGAUGCUUGAAGGCAGCAUGCUCGUUAAGAGUCAUCACCACUCCCUAAUCUCAAGUACCCAGGGACACAAACACUGCGGAAGGCCUCAGGGUCCUCUGCCUAGGAAAACCAGAGACCUUUGUUCACUUGUUUAUCUGCUGACCUUCCCUCCAUUAUUGUCCUAUGACCCUGCCAAAUCCCCCUCUGCGAGAAACACCCAAGAAUGAUCAAUAAAAAAUAAAUAAAUAAAUAAAAAGAAAGAAGAAAAAGAAAACUUGGAUCCACGUGGAUUUUAUUCUGGUGUCGGACGUGAAAUAUGCAUAACUUUCUUCGAUUUUUCCCAAGGUUGUGCCGUGUGUGUCCCUGGCAACCUGGAGGAAAGGAUUUGGUCGGGCAGUUAGCCCAGUGUGGGGAGGUGACAUUUGCAGAGACUGAAGACAGGAGGCACAGUCUCCUCCAUACACAGAGACCACAGACGGAGAGAGCUGCAUGUGCAAAGGUCUCAAGGUGGGAGGAAGCUUGGCUCAUUCCCAGAACAGCAAGGCCAGUGCGGCUGUAGGUGCUGGGGAAGCAAGGAGGACAGGGAUGGGUUCCUGGAGGGGCCAGCCCAGGUAGGACCUAGUAGGUAACUGUGGAGUCUGGCUUGGAUUUGGGCUCUAAUGGUACCGAGGAGCUGCAGGCAAGAUCUUUAAAACUGUUCACUUGAUAAGAUAAGACCCAGACGGGAAACUGGGGGGCCUAAGGUUAUGGACAGUUCAAAUUUUGCUGCAAAUUGGCUGGGCGUGGUGGCUCACACCUAUAAUCCCAGCACUUUGGGAGGCUGAGGCAUGUGGAUCACCUGAGGUCAGGAGUUUGAGACCAGCCUGACCAACAUGGUGAAACCCAGUCUCUACUAAAAAUACAAAAAUUAGCC
rnacentral:lncRNA from 1 species